rnacentral:rRNA from 1 species
GGGAAAGCAGAGUUCCUAUCACUGUUUGGGCUAACAGAACUUCCAUCCAUAAGUUUCUUUGGGAACAAGCUUAUGAAGGAAGAACUGCCUGACGAUGUUUAUCUUCGCUGUUUCUUGACUGUCGCACUAGCAACCUUCCUGUGUCCCACAUCCAACACAAAGCCAAGCACCAAAUAUUUGGGAGCACUUGUGGAUGUGUCAAAGUUAAAAGAUCUUGAUUGGUGCUCUUUUGUCCAUACAUGGAAUAUCUCCUAUGUCAAGAAGUACCAAACAGACAAGAUGAAGCAGAAACGGAUAACAACCACUUUGGGAGGCUGCAUUUAUCAGCUAGCAGUAUGCACCUUCUUUUUGUUUAUAUGA